AACCCCCUGAUUUAUCACAGCUGGAGACAGGCCGUCGUCGGAAACUCAGUUAAACACUGAGGGGAAAGACAGACACAAGGAAAGAACCACACGAAAGUCAGGCUCUCUUCUCUGACGGGGUGUACACAGUUAUCUUUCUGAACAUCAUCAGAAGCUGUGAGAGAGACCACCAGAGAAUUCCCACCUUACCUGUUAGGGUGGAAAGACAGCUUCCGGAGGGCGGUGCUGCAUUACCGCUAUCUUGCAGAUGGAGGACUGCAGACCAUGGCGUCUUAGGAGUCAUCGAUCUUUUCAUUUCGUCAAUCUUUCUCCCAGACCUAGGGUCUUCCACCCCUUACCCAGGAAGGCCAGGUCAGUGGUGUGUACUGCGUCUGUGAUUCCAUGACACGUGUUUGCCUGCCCUCACCCACGGUAGGCCCAGCUGUCUGCUCAGCUGGGAUGAUGUUCAAAUGAACCGGUCUGAAGGAAAUCCUGGAGAGCCCUGGUCUGCGUAGCGCCACCUCACUUCAGACUUUGGAACAAAAGAGAUGGAGCAUCAGUGGGUGCUUGCUCCUAGAGGAGAUAACCUUUCUGUUCCGCUCUCAGCUUCUUUCUAGCCUUUGAGAUUAAAGGCUUGGGAAUUCUCACAGAAAA